ensembl:lncRNA
GGGGGUGUGUAUCAGGUAAUGGUGUAUAUGAGGUGGUGGUGUGUAUGAGGUGGUGGUGUGUAUGAGGUGGUGGUGUGUAUGAGGUGGGAGUGUGUAUCAGGUAAUGGUGUAUAUGAGGUGGGGGUGUGUAUGAGGUGGUGGUGUGUAUGAGAUGGUGGUGUGUAUGAGGUGGGGGUGUGUAUGGGGUGGUGUGUAUGAGGUAGUGGUGUGUAUGAGGUAAUGGUGUGUAUGAGGUAAUGGUGUGUAUGAGGUGGUGGUGUGUAUGAGGUGGUGGUGUGUAUGAGGUGGUGGUGUGUAUGAGGUAAUUGUGUAUAUGAGGUGGGGGUGUUUAUGAGGUGGAGGUGUGUAUGAGAUGGUGGUGUAUAUGAGGUGGGGGUGUGUAUGGGGUGGUGUGUAUGAGGUGGGGGAGUGUAUGGGGUGGUGUAUAUGAGGUGGUGAUGUGUAUGAGAUGGUGUUGUGUAUGAGGUAAGGGUGUGUAUGAGGUGGGGGUGUGUAUGAGGUGGUGGUGUAUAUGAGGUGGGGGUGUGUAUGGGGUGUUGUGUAUGAGGUGGUGGUGUGUAUGAGGUGGGGGUGUGUAUGGGGUGGUGUGUAUGAGGUGGUGAUGUGUAUGAGAUGGUGUUGUGUAUGAGGUAAGGGUGUAUAUGAGGUGGGGGUGUGUAUGAGGUGGUGGUGUGUAUGAGGUGGGGGUGUGUAUGGGGUGGUGUGUAUGAGGUGGUGAUGUGUAUGAGAUGGUGUGUAUGAGGUGGUGGGGUGUAUGAAGUGGUGGUGUGUAUGAGGUAAUGGUGUGUAUGAGGUAAGGGUGUAUAUGAGGUGGGGGUGUGUAUGAGGUGGUGGUGUGUAUGAGGUAAUGGUGUGUAUGAGGUUGUUGUGUGUAUGAGGUGGUGGUGUGUAUGUGGUGGUGUGUAUGGGGUGGUGGUGUGUAUGAGAUGGUGGUGUGUAUGAGGUGGGGGCGUGUAUGAGGUGGGGGCGUGUAUGAGGUGGUGGUGUGUAUGAGGUGGUGUGAAUGGGGUGGUGGUGUGUAUGGGGUGGUGGUGUGUAUGAGGUAGUGUGUAUGAGGUGGGGGUG